rnacentral:rRNA from 1 species
UACAGAGGUCUCAAGCGUUGUUCGGAUUCAUUGGGCGUAAAGGGUGCGUAGGUGGCGUCGUAAGUCGGGUGUGAAAUCUCGGGGCUUAACUCCGAAACUGCAUUCGAUACUGCGGUGCUUGAGGACUGGAGAGGAGACUGGAAUUUACGGUGUAGCAGUGAAAUGCGUAGAGAUCGUAAGGAAGACCAGUGGCGAAGGCGGGUCUCUGGACAGUUCCUGACACUGAGACACGAAGGCCAGGGGAGCAAACGGG